rnacentral:rRNA from 1 species
UACGUCCCUGCCCUUUGUACACACCGCCCGUCGCUACUACCGAUUGAAUGGCUCAGUGAGGCUUCCGGACUGGCCCAGAGAGGUCGGCAACGACCACUCAGGGCCGGAAAGCUAUCCAAACUCGGUCAUUUAGAGGAAGUAAAAGUCGUAACAAGGUCUCCGUUGGUGAACCAGCGGAGGGAUCAUUA